GAUAUGGCUCAGGAUGAACGCUAGCUACAGGCUUAACACAUGCAAGUCGAGGGGCAGCAUGGUCUUAGCUUGCUAAGGCCGAUGGCGACCGGCGCACGGGUAAGUAACACGUAUCCAACCUGCCGUCUACUCUUGGACAGCCUUCUGAAAGGAAGAUUAAUACAAGAUGGCAUCAUGAGUCCGCAUGUUCACAUGAUUAAAGGUAUUCCGGUAGACGAUGGGG
rnacentral:rRNA from 1 species